rnacentral:SRP_RNA from 1 species
GCUGGGUUCCGUAACGGGAGAUUGUCAGUCAGUGUCUUGACUGUAUAAUUUGAGGAAGACUUGCCCUCUGGAAUCACAGUGGACCAUUAAAUGUUGACGAUCGAGUGUCCGUGCCAAGCGUUGCGUCGAUAGGCUUAUCUUGGAGUAAUCUUCGAUAAAUCGGUCGUGGUUUCGGCCUCUAAAGAGAGAUGGAAGGCUCAGGAUCGAAAGGCAACAGGCAAAAGUUUCCGCGCGAUGACAGUGGUCGGGUGGCGUACGCAAAGCAUUUAGUACCACUUGCUAGGUUUAUAUAGUUUCACUCAAAUUUUU